AAUACCGAAUAAGAUUAGUUUCGAAUUAACUUCUUCAAUGAACCCAAUAUUCUAUAGUUAAUAUUAUCCCUUUACAUAAAUAAACAAUUGUUUAAAAGUUUAAUUGUUCACAACAUGAACGGCCGCGUUUCUUUCGUCGACAACUAUACAUGUCUGUGUGACGCCACUGCUUUCGUCGAUACGUCAUUAAGAAGUUAAAAUUGAAACUGACAUACUCUGGUGGAUGUUUACAUUGUUGAAAUUUAAUAAAUUAAUGGAAUGCACUCGAUUGAAGCUGCUCUGUCAAAUGCUGGACUUCACACAUUCCAUGCAGCAUUCUGCUCAACAACAUUCUGCUCUGCUGAGCUUUGUACUCAACAACGAAGCAAUUCUGGACCUAAAAAGCUUGACCGGGACUGAAACAUUAGCAAUUGUGACUCUGUAAUGUUCAACGUUAGUGGACUGUAAAGAAACUGCAAUUAUUGUGACGAGACUCUGUAUGUCUGUUAGCAAAAAGAAUAUACAGCUUAACAAAUAUCAGGUGUGAAAACAAUGUGAAAGAAUAGUGAAAUUAACAAUUUGCAAUCAGGCAUGUCAAAUGAAUUGUUGAUAUUAAAAAUGAUAGUUCCCAGGCAGCUCUAAACGUUUUUUUUUCUGUAUUUCUAUUACUAGUAUUAAUUCAUAAAAUGUAUGCCACAAUUAAAAAGCACACUCUGUUUAGAGACCAUUGUGUUGUCUCAUUGUGUGAUGAUGACUUUGAGUAAUACAUUGUACAUUAAACAAUAUCUACUAAGUUGUUUUUAAGUAUCAGAUUUCUUGUUUAUUAUAUAAAUGUAUGUUAAUUUUUGCUUAAAUAUAAAUGUGCAUAAUGCAGUGCCAGUAGCACACUUUGCAAUAUUUUAAUUACAAAAGAGUGUGCUGUACACUUGAACUUAUACCUAUAAUUAAUAAUCCUUGCCUAAAAAUUCAUUUGACACACCUGAGACCAUGUUGUGUAUUACCAUUAUUAUUUUGCACAUUAUGCUGACACUUUGAAAAAAUUGCAAAUAAGCGAAAAGCAGAAGUUUAGUCUUGUCAACUGUCUCUGAUUACCACUGAUUACUUACUUUUGAAGACCAUAUAAGAAGCGAAAGUGCAGGAUACGGUAUUCAUUUUAUUUGAUGACUGCUUGUUAUUAUUUCUUCAUAGAAGGCGUACGGGAUGAGUGGAGUAUUUUUUUUGGUUCUACAUCUUUAAAGAAGUCAACUCAUUGACAUUUAGUGCCAAGACUGAGCGUCUUUUUUAACUAAAAAACGCGUGGUAGGAACUUACCGAAUAUAUGCAAACUCAUAACAGUGUGUCUAAUACUACAUGUGUUGAGUGCACAGAAACAAGGGCGAGAAGAUAGGGGUAUAAAUGAACAUACUGAAUGUGUUAUUUUGUUUAUGAGCUUGAACAUACAAAAACUUGACUUUAAUCAAUUGGGAUGUACAUGCAGUUUAAUAAUCGGGUUGUUAUUUAAUAAUCAUAUUCAUGUGGAAACUGCCUCAUUCACAUGCAAUACGCAGCUGCUGUCUAUAUGUUUAAUGCCACAUUCCAUAAUGACUGAAUAUCUUUACUUUCAAAACAUGAAAAUGAAUUAAAUGAAAUGAAAAUAAACAAAAUAAUGUAAUUAAAUUCAGGUGAAAAAUAUUUGAUUAUAUUUUAUUUAAAUAUGGUUUGGUAAAUUAUUUACUGGUAAAACAAUUCUUGUUGAUAACAGUAAAUUCGUGAUAAUAA